rnacentral:misc_RNA from 1 species
UCCUUCUUCAACUUGACAUUGAAUCUCUUCACAUAUACACAUGAGUGUAACUCUGCUUUCAAAUAAAGCCGAAUAGACCGAGGAAGCAUGAUAUGUCCUUUAGCCACAGAUUCUGAAAAUAUUAGGCGAACCAUUGCUUGAUGGAUAUCGUGCUUGUCAGGUAGAACUCCUACACUCCCUUCCUUUGAAGUUACACUACUUUUCCCUCUACGGCUAUAUGUCUCAUGGUUCUUCUUGGUUUCUCUGGGAAGCAAUCUGGGAAUUAUAACCACAGUCUGAAGAGGUUCAAAAGAGUAUAUGCUGGCUGUCUCAGGAUGAAUGAAGAUAGCGGAAGUCAAAACCACACUCAUCUCGACUCCCUCGGCCUCAUAUUUGUGAAUACAUUGAUCAUCAGUAUCUUGGACUCUCAAUAGUGCCUUUGAGACCGAAAGCUCAUCGUCUUGCAUCAUGGAUUCCUCACCCGAACUAAUAUUUCUUUUGCGCCUUUUUGGAGCAACAGCAACUUCAGUACCAGGGACAAGUUGUACUACCGGUGUCAGCG